rnacentral:rRNA from 1 species
UUUAAUCCAACUAUCCGUAGUUGAUUUUAAUGAGGAAUCAGCCACAUGGGAGAUGAGAACAAUCCCACCAAUUGGGCAGCAGUGAGGAAUUCUGGACAAAAAGUUGACACUGGAUCUGGCGAGUUAAGGGAGAGGAAGAAAGCUACGAUAGUUGUAAACUCUGUUCGCCGAUCAAAAUUAUGCUAUAAUAUCGGAAGAGAAGCUAUGGCUAAUACAUGUGCCAGCAGCCGCGGUAAUACAUGAGUGGCGAGCGUUACCCGUAUUACUUAGGCGUAAAGGAUGUGUAGGUGUUAUAAGAAUUUAUACUCGACUAUAAUGAAAACAGGAAGCGUGUAUAAUAACUUAUUAAUAGAGAUUAGUAGUUGUUUAUAGCAUCUCGAAAAUAGUGAUUAAAUACAGAGAUUUAACAGGGAUUUUCUAAAUUGAAAAUUUUUUGCAAUACUAAUCUGACACUAAUACAUGAAAGUAUGGACACUGAACAGGAUUAGAGACCCUAUUAACCCAUACCGCGAACAAUGAGUAUAAUACUAAUAUAGUUAAAGCUAACGCUAAAAUACUCCGCCUGGGGACAUCGGCUACUCGGCCUAAACUUAACAGAAUUGGCGGGAAUCUGUUCAAACGGUGGAAUAUGUGGUUUAAUGCGAUGAUCCACGCAUAAUCUUACCAACGUGAAGGCUUUUUAUUUUAAUAGCUCAGAUGAGUUAUGAAACAAAAGUUUAAGGUGUUGCAUGGCUGUCGUCAGUUCGUGCUUCGAAGUGUAGGAUUAAUUUCUUAUAACGGACGUAACCCUCACUCAACAGUUUGAAGAAACGGUAUGGAAUGUUUUAUUACAAAUACUAAAAUCUUUUCUGUAGCAAAGGGAUUGUCGAAACAAAACGUAUAAUGUUUUUAUAAACAUUUAAUUUUUGUUAGGCAGGUUCCGGAGGGUUAGGCUGAAGUCAAGUCCUUAUGACCUGUAUAUGUUGGGCUACACACGUGUUACAAAGGCUGAAACAAAGAGUUGCAAAGGAUUAUACCGAAGCUAAGCUUGAAAAACAGCCCCAGUUCAGAUUGCAUCCUGAAACUCGGAUGCAUGAAGUUGAAAUCGUUAGUAAUCGUAUAAUAGCACGAUACGGUGAAUGUAAAAUCGGGUUCUGCACACACCGCCCAUCACGCUCGGAGAAUUGACGUGUACUGAAUUGUUUUUCUAGGUUUAUUUAUAAAUUUAUUUUUUUAAAAUGACCCAAGGAUGUAGAUGGAUGGCUCGUUGGUAAUUUGAGUGAAGUUGACACAAGGUACUGGUAGGGGAACCUGCCGGUGGA